rnacentral:rRNA from 1 species
UUGACCUCGGAUCAGGUAGGGAUACCCGCUGAACUUAAGCAUAUCAAAUAAGCGGAGGAAAAGAAAACCAACCAA